rnacentral:rRNA from 1 species
AACGAACGCUGGCGGCAUGCCUAACACAUGCAAGUCGAACGAGACCUUCGGGUCUAGUGGCGCACGGGUGCGUAACGCGUGGGAACCUGCCCUUAGGUUCGGAAUAACUCCCCGAAAGGGGUGCUAAUACCGGAUAAUGUCUUCGGACCAAAGAUUUAUCGCCUUUGGAUGGGCCCGCGUUGGAUUAGCUAGUUGGUAGGGUAAAAGCCUACCAAGGCGACGAUCCAUAGCUGGUCUGAGAGGAUGAUCAGCCACACUGGGACUGAGACACGGCCCAGACUCCUACGGGAGGCAGCAGUGGGGAAUAUUGGACAAUGGGCGAAAGCCUGAUCCAGCAAUGCCGCGUGAGUGAUCAAGGCCUUAGGGUUGUAAAGCUCUUUUACCCGGGAUGAUAAUGACAGUACCGGGAGAAUAAGCUCCGGCUAACUCCGUG